GAUUCUGUCGGCGUCCGCUGCGCGCGACGCGCCUCCACGCGAAUGGGCCGCCGCCGCCCGCCUUCUUGUUGGCCGCACCCCCGCCCCGCGCCCGCCCCGCGCCCGGCCCGGCCCGGCGAGAAAGCCUUAAUUGAAUUGGUUGCAUCCCGAUGUCUCCUCUGCCUGCACUUCCCAGGAAGAACCCCCUGAGGCCCUCAGAUUUUCCUGCACACGCCCUUCCCAGACCCUCUGAUGACUGCAAAUCCCACCCUACCCUUGACGGGAAACUCUCUGAGGCUGUCCAGGUCAUCACCCCCAGGGACCAGGUACUGGUGGGGGAAUGUUCCAUGAAUUAAUUGCUGUACUCAGGGCUCUUGGACAAGUCUCCCCUGAUCGCAGGGUCCUGACUCUCCCUGUAUAAGAUGGAGGCUCUGCUGCUCAGGAGCCUGCCUGGCUUCCAGUGGUCUGGAGUGGAGCUGCACUGCAAUGGGGCUGGACUUAGGCUCCAGGUACCCACAGGGUGGGUGCAGGGGGACCAUCACAGUUCAGCUUCCUGGUGCCAUCUGUGGUGGGACCUGAUUGUGGGGCAAAGGGGUGGGACAUAAAAGGCAGAGUGUCGAGGCAGGUACAGAACGGGUGGGGGGUGCUCCUUAGGGAGAAGGCAAAUCUAGAAUUCCUUGACCUCAUAAGGAAACAGCUUG
rnacentral:lncRNA from 1 species